rnacentral:rRNA from 1 species
UACGUAGGGUCCGAGCGUUGUCCGGAAUUACUGGGCGUAAAGAGCUCGUAGGUGGUUUGUUGCGUUGUUCGUGAAAACUCACAGCUCAACUGUGGGCGUGCGGGCGAUACGGGCAGACUAGAGUACUGCAGGGGAGACUGGAAUUCCUGGUGUAGCGGUGAAAUGCGCAGAUAUCAGGAGGAACACCGGUGGCGAAGGCGGGUCUCUGGGCCGAUACUGACGCUGAGGAGCGAAAGCGUGGGGAGCGAACAGG